rnacentral:rRNA from 1 species
UACGUAGGGUGCGAGCGUUGUCCGGAAUUAUUGGGCGUAAAGAGCUUGUAGGCGGUCUGUCGCGUCUGCUGUGAAAAUCCGGGGCUCAACCCCGGACUUGCAGUGGGUACGGGCAGACUAGAGUUCGGUAGGGGAGUCUGGAAUUCCUGGUGUAGCGGUGAAAUGCGCAGAUAUCAGGAGGAACACCGGUGGCGAAGGCGGGACUCUGGGCCGAUACUGACGCUGAGGAGCGAAAGCGUGGGGAGCAAACAGG